rnacentral:lncRNA from 1 species
ACACAUGCGGACCAUUUUCCAUGACAAUAAGAUAUCCAAACUUAUCACGUUUACACGUGAAGUUAAGCUGGCAGUCACAGAUUGCAGGAAACGAAUCUUGGGUGACUUGUUAAAUUCUUAUUUUCCGACAUGGUCACUACUUAGAUCAGGUCUCGGAAACCAGAACAGGAAAUAAACGAUUAACCAGGCAGAUUAUGCCGUUUAAGCUCCAUUUCUGCAACCUGUCGACUGUCGAAUCCUGAGUAGCUGAAAAUAUUGUUCUGUGUACUAUGGCUUGCACUUGCAGCUGCUGUCUUGGCCACCACGACAGCACCGCCCAGUCGCCACCCUCACCAACUACUCCGAUCCGGUCAAAAACCGAUAGAAAACUAAACCAACCUUGCUUGCGACGCAGGCUUUCCGCCUCUUAAAAGCAGUGUGCGCUCGUCAGUCGUCAGAACCAUAGCGAUCGGAGGAGGAGGAGGAGGAGGGCAUGCGUUUGUGUACGAGUCUUGCCGUGGCUCCUCUUUUCGUUAAGGUUCUUGCAAUAGCGGCAGUAGUGGAUUAUUUUGAUUUCAUUUUCUUCCUUUGCUUUUUUGAAAGGUGUUUGGUUUUGGAUCGAAAUGGUGAUGUGGUUACGGAGGGGCAGUGAGGAUAUGAAGGAUGAUGGCUCGCUCGCCGAUCGUAAUGGCGGUAGUUCUAUACUGCCUUGACGACCAUCACAAAACUAUACAUAUCUGAGUCUCCUCCCUUCUCUUUUUCUCUAAUCUGAGAAAUAUUCGUAGCAGAUGAGAUUCAGAACAAUUCUGUUUCCCACCGCUCUUGGCAUUUGGCUGCCACCGCAAAGAAAUCCCAAUUCCCGCACAGAGAUUUCUAUGUAAACAUCCGUACGAAGGGACCGUGCCGUCUCGGGGGCAUGCCUGUAAAUAGAAGGACGCCGAGGCCCUUUUCCCGAACACUUCCACUAUAUCAAUCCCUCUCCGAGGACUAGGGUUUUAGUGUUUCGCUUUUUUCCUUUUUCGUUUAAAAAAUCCCUCGCCGCACCAGGAGUCGGAGGCUAUGGGCCGGUCGUCCUCUCUCUCUCUCUAUCUCUAUCUCUCUCCUAUCUCUACUUAUUCGUUUUUCGUACCAUCAGGGAUUUUUCUUCUCUUUCUUAGAUUAUCGUGUUUUAUCUGGUCGGAAUUUUUUUUAAUUACUCU